UGCCAUGCCCAGGCUCUGUCUUUUAAUGGGAAAAUUAAACACUACCUCCAGUCAAUCAGAGCAGUAACAAAUGUCUUAUCCCUCAUUUGCACCUCUAUGCAACAUAUGAAGACACCCUGGAAGUUCUUAUGGUUGUCUGAUCUGGGCUGUGGAAGUAGGUUUUUAAGAUUUGAAUGUUUGCAGAGGUGAUGAGGAUGUGCAGUCCUUUAUACACAUUUUGAUUCCCUCCUCCUCCCUUCCCUUUUCUGAUGCACCGGGUACUUCUGUUUUGAAUCUAUCAGUAAAUGAAGCAAAUAAGGGAUGUCUGUAUUAUAAAGCAUACUGAAUUAAGGGCCCUGUGAUCCAACCUUGAAUCUUGCACAGGCACCAGCUGUGAAAUCUUGAGCAUGUGGUUUGAUUGCUGAGCUUCAGUGCUCUCACAAACCAAGGAUGAUUGUUCAUAGAAUUGCUAUUAAAAACAGUUGGGACAAUGUACUCAGAAGUGCUUUGUAGACAGCAAACCCUUGAACAAAUUCUGAUUUGUCAGGGAACACUCUCCAGUGUCAGUGUGCCUGUUUUCCAGGUAGAGGGAGGGCUUAGGGCAGCUGUGUGAGCAGGAUGGCUUCUGCGUGUAUAGUAGUUUGGGGGAAAGCUGCAUGGGCUUUAAUAAUACUUUUGAGAUUUUGUCUCAAUUUAUAGUUGUGUGGCAGUGACAGGAUGAGACAGAGGGAGAUUUCCAUCUGCCUUUUCUCUCUCUAAACUCCUGUAAUUGUGGGACUAGGUUGGCUGAAACUGUGAACUCUGCCUGGGCUCUCCCAUGAGAGAGGAGGAACUGAGCACUUCAGCCAUUACCAGUGUCUGCCAGAAUGUGCAUUAGCAGGAAGCUGGAUUAGAAGUGGAGGUGGGAUUCACCCCAGACACUUUAAUUUGGGGUGGGGACAUCCCAAGCAAUGGUUGAAUCCAGUGCAAUAUAACGUGUGUCUGAAUGAGUGUAACUUUUUUUUUCCCCUUUGGUAGUUAUCUAGGAGAAAGAUUGUGUUUGUUGGUUUUGAACCCAUCUAGAUGUAUUCAUAUCUUUUGAAUUACAGAGAAACAAUAACUUUUCCGCAGUGGAGAUGUUUUUCUGUUUUCUCAUGUAAUAGGACACUUGGUCAUUGUUAGACAUGCUGUUACUCCUUUGUUAUGAGUUGGGAAAAUGCUGGGGAGUAAUGCUUAUGGCUGGGUAAGGUUUAUUAUCAAUAAAGAACUAUCAGGAGGAAUUAAAUUUUGAUUUUUAAUGAAAUUGUUUUGCUUGGCAUACUGGCAUAACAAGAAAAUUCAAGUUUGUUUUAGGGACUGUGAAUUCUCUGUGACUGAAGGAACAUUUUAUGUCUUAGCCACAAGAAAUUGCCAUUCUGAAUUGCAUUGUCUUACUUCCUUAUACAGGCUUUAUUUUGGUUUGUGGCUUUGUGGUCUUUGGCCCUGAGGCAAUGAGAAUCUUUCAGAGGCUACUCUUUUUUUUUAUUUUAUUUACUCUAUUUUAUUUAUUAUUAUUUUUUAUUAUCCUUUUAUGAUACAGUUCCAUAAACCUUUGGAUUUCUCUUACCUCCUUCCCAAUCCCCUCCCCCGUCACUGAAUUCCCCUAUAUCAUUACUAUAGUAUAGUUCUUCAUAAACAGUCAAAUUAAACAGUUAAAGCCUGUUUCUAUGACCCACGGCUCAUUAGCUUGUAGAAUGUGAGCCCUGUACUGUUAUUAUAGAAACUUUGCAUCCCUUUGAAGGCAGGACCUGUGCUAGUUGUUUAAAAGGACUUGAUGAGGGUUGUAGAUUCUUUCAGUUGUUGCCUGUAGGAAGUACUUUGCAGGGGAUCAACAGGUAGUUUCCUGAAAUAUAACCCACAAUUUGGUGUAUCAGGUGACUAAGUCCUUUGGAGACCUGAAAAAUCUACCUGUGCCUGACCAGUUCGUUGCAGAAGGCCUGGCAGCCUUGGAAAAACAUGUGAGCAACAAGAGAAGAGACACCAGGAGAUAGAAAUGACUGUGAUAGGAUGUAGCGGAAUGAAGAAUGCAAGAUCAUUAAGGAUGAUUUUGGGGUUUCUAAUAUGAAAGUGACAGGCAUAGUAACAUUUAGUGAAAGAGCCGAUUCUGAGAAAAGAUAUAAUUGUAGCUAACGUGCUGUUUUUGAAA